UGCUUAGCUACAAACUGAACUACAUUUCCACCAGAACACUACGAGUAAACACUUAAAAAUCAAAGGACUUGGCGGUGCUCAAAAUCUAUCCAGAGGAGCCUGUUCUAUAAUCGAUAAUCCACGCUAAACCUUACCACUCUUUGCCAAACAGCCUAUAUACCACCGUCUACAGCUUACCCUACUGAAGGAUAACAAGUGAGCAAAAUAAACCUACUAAAAACGUCAGGUCAAGGUGUAGCAUAUAGAGUGGCAAGAAAUGGGCUACAUUUUCUUAUUAAGAAAAAACGAAAAAGAAAAUGAAAAAUUUCUUAGAAGGCGGAUUUGGCAGUAAAAAGAAACAAUCAAGUUCUUUUUAACACAGCCCUUGAGCGCGC
rnacentral:rRNA from 1 species